ACAGUCCAGAGAACUUAGCAGAGAUGCUUUGGUGCCUUCGGGAACUCUGAGACAGGUGCUGCAUGGCUGUCGUCAGCUCGUGUUGUGAAAUGUUGGGUUAAGUCCCGCAACGAGCGCAACCCUUAUCCUUUGUUGCCAGCGGUUCGGCCGGGAACUCAAAGGAGACUGCCGGUGAUAAACCGGAGGAAGGUGGGGAUGACGUCAAGUCAUCAUGGCCCUUACGGCCAGGGCUACACACGUGCUACAAUGGCGCAUACAAAGAGAAGCGACCUCGCGAGAGCAAGCGGACCUCAUAAAGUGCGUCGUAGUCCGGAUUGGAGUCUGCAACUCGACUCCAUGAAGUCGGAAUCGCUAGUAAUCGUAGAUCAGAAUGCUACGGUGAAUACGUUCCCGGGCCUUGUACACACCGCCCGUCACACCAUGGGAGUGGGUUGCAAAAGAAGUAGGUAGCUUAACCUUCGGGAGGGCGCUUACCACUUUGUGAUUCAUGACUGGGGUGAAGUCGUAACAAGGUAGGCGUAGCGAG
rnacentral:rRNA from 1 species